AUGUUCUUUACACUUUGCAAGUGGAAACUUUUGACCACCACUGUAGGUAACCGAUGGGUGAGACUGUGUUUUGACGGAGACGAGCGAAACUACGAGCUGUGGGAGACGAAGCUGUUAGCACACAUGCGGCUACUGGGGCUAAAAGAAACUCUUCUAAAUGAACCCCCCGCCGACAACGUGGAGGCGGAUGUCCUGAAGAACGAGGAGCCGUAUGCCGAAAUGAUCCAGUUUUUGGACGAUAAAAGUUUGUCCCUUAUGAGAGAGGCGGCUGACAACGGGAGAAAAGCCCUUAAGAUAUUAAGGGACCAUUAUGCCGGUAAAGGAAAACCCCGUAUUAUAAGCCUGUACACCGAGCCAACAUCCCUGCAGAAAGCGGUGAGUGAAAGUGUCACGGACUCUAUUAUCCGGGCUGAGACGGCAAUAACAGCUCUAAGAAAUGCUAACGAGACACUCAGUGAUGGGCUCUUGAUUGCCAUGGUGUUAAAAGGAUUACCUGAGGCCUAUAAACCAUUUUCCAUCCAUAUCACUCAAGGAGAUGAUAAUCUAACUUUUUCCGACUUCAAGACAAAGCUAAGAAGUUUUGAGGACACGGAAAAGUUUCGCACGGUUUCUGAGGACAACAUCAUGAAAGUGGCUGCACCUGUCUCAGAUUGGAGACGCAGAGAGAGAAAUGCAUGUCCAGAGAUUACAUGUUACACGUGUGGCGAGAAAGGACAUAAGGCGCGUGUAUGUCCAAAUGAGCGCCAAGAAAGGAAGACACAAUGGUGUGGAUAUUGUAAAAGUUCGACACACAAAGAUGCAUCGUGUCGACGCAAAAAGAAGGAUAACAUAAAACAAGCAGCAGAUGACAUCUGUGAGGAACAAUCGUACGCAUUUAAAGUGAGUGAAUGUCAACGUGGCCUGAAGCACAGGGGACUCAUGGUCGACACUGGAGCGACUUCGCAUGUGAUAACGGAUGUACAAAAGUUCCUUAAGUUUGAUGAGUCAUUCCAGCCCCAAAAUCACACAGUUGAACUGGCCGAUGGCACGAGAACAAACGGUGCGGCGCUGAGGAGAGGCGACGCCAAGGUGACGCUGGUGGAUCGCGAGGGGAAGAGGAUUAAAGCCACGCUGAAGAAGGCGCUCUACGUUCCGACGUAUCCACAGGACAUUUUCUCCGUAAAGGCGGCGACGACUAAUGGAGCCUCAGUCAACUUUAGAGAAGGCCACAGUGAACUCAUCCACAAGAGCGGGACCAGGUUUGACAUCAAAGAGUACAACAGACUCUAUUACUUGAAUACUGUAAAUGAUGUAACUGAUGAGUUGUAA
rnacentral:lncRNA from 1 species